CACACAUUUCAGUAGCAUAUGAAGCGGUUUGGAAGCAUUGUGCAAGAGUUAAGUCCCUCACCCCAAAUGCAGUGACGCAGAGAGCUACAAGAUGAGGUGCAUCUUCAUCUUCCCCUUCUGGCACAACCUAAAGCCAAACUGGCAGAGAAGAAAACCACCAAAAAGUACAGCCAGCAUGUGGGUAGGGUUGGAUUCGCAGCCUCUGGCCUGUGACUUUGCGUGACUACUUUGCGCGACUACUUUGUGUGACUCCUCAAAGCACAGGCAGUUGAGAGUCUGAUGACACUCAAGGCCACGCGCUGUGAUGUCCAAAAUUAACUCAGCUGCUAACUGUGCUACUGCCUCCGCGGUUUGAUUGCACCCUGCCUUCCUUGAGAACGCCCCCAAGGGAUAAAGAGGAUGUUGCUCAUAUGUGCAUUUCUGAGUUUUUUUUUUUUUCUUAGUGGACAGAAAUUUUCCAUUGUGUGGGGAUUUUUUGGUCUCAUCUGAAAUCUGGUUUCCACGUAGCCUGGCGCUAUUAGUCCAGUCAUUUUACCUGACCUCUUUCUUUACUUUGGGCACAAGACAAGGCCGAGCUCAUUCUUUCGUGACAGCCACUCUGCCACCUAAGCAGAACUAACCGUCAAAAGAGCAGGCGAAUUGUAAUUCUUAAAAAAUCCAUAAGCCAGCAGUUCCUUUUAACCACAGUGACUUUCCCGGCUGGCUCGUUGUGCUGAGGCAGCGGCGCGGCUGCACAGCAGAGCGAGGCUUGGCCCCGCCUCCCUUGGCAGGAGGGCGCUGUGGCGCGUGCAAGCUCUGCUGUCCUGCCCUUCCUGUGGGACCCAGUAUGGCGUUCUAGUGAUUGUUAGCAUGCGGACUGAAUAAACGCUCGGCUUCACUGAUGUUCCCAGCCUUACAUUUGCUAAACUGUGUCAACCAGAUGGCAGCAAGGACAUCUGUGGCAGUACAGAAAUCAAGAGAUGAGAAAAGGAAAUAAAGAAUCGUGGAGAGAACUGAUUUCAUGAACCAACGUGCCACUACCCAUAGAUGUGGAAGAGGUGUUGGAGCCCCAUCCAGAGGAGCUUUGUGAGAGCCGCCAGCACCCGACUGGGGAGGCCAGGAAGCCACGGCCGGCACUCAGAGCGAGGGAGCUCAGGCCCAGCUCAGCAAGGAGGCUCGACUAGAAGCCAGGCCCUUACCCAGGCCACUCCGUGGGACCCUCUGGAAGUGUUUCUCAUAACAAGAAGAGGUGGCUGUGCAGGAAGGAAACUCGGAGACUCUGUGUGACCUGUUGUCUGCCGUCAUUAGACCGGUCUGAGCUUGUAUCCAGACUCCGUGAGGCCCUGGGAUCCCAGCCAGGUGCUCAGCUCUGGGCGAGUUUCAUCCUCAUGAAUAAUGGGGAUAAAAUACCCAAUUUUAGGCUCGCUGUGGAAGAAAUUGAGAGGCUCCCUGUACUAUUCCCAGUCAACCUGAGCCUCUUGUUUCCUGAGAAGACAAACACGACAUCCACCAUUAUCGCUGCUGGGCCAGAAGAAGGGAUUAAUGAACUCCAGUCCUCACAGAAGCCCCACGGAAAGAGGCCGUCACCCCCACUCUACCCUGGGGAACAGGGGUCACAAAACUGCUAAGGAGCCAGUCAGAGCUGGUAACGGGAUGGAGAGCCCAGGACUCAAACCAGUCACAGGUCCUGUGCUGUUCCUCGGUCAUCUUCCUGAUAGAAAAGAGGAAAGUGCCUCCGAAGGGAGCCCCACCGUGCAGAGUAUGAGGGAGUGGGAUAAGGAUUAAAAGAAGACAGCACCAUAGAGCAAGAUGAGAGAGGUUUCCAAAGGCUGCGUCUAGGACGAGCCAGGGGACCUUGAUAGCUGAGACGUUAACUCUGCAGAGAGAGGGAGAGAAGAUGAACCAGAGGACGCCUAGAACCGGUGAGCACCACGCAGGGUCCUUCAGAGACGGCGGAGUCCCGUGCUGAGAGCUCCCUCCAAGGCUGGGAUAGCUUGGGCACUUCUCUUUGCUCACGGAGAAAUCCCAAAGGCAUUUGGUUUUCUUUGAGGCCUCUACUCCCCAUUUCUUGGUGGCCAUUAUUAGUUCAAUCAAAAGGUGGCAGCCUUCGGGGCGAAUGAGCCCCCUCUUCUGAGCCAGGGAGCCCGCUUCGAAGGUGUAGCAGGCUCCGGUUUCAAGUCCCUGAUCAGGGCCAGCUGUAGCCGACCCACCCCGUCGACUCGUUGGGGACCUAGACCUGCUACUUCCUUCUCCCUGACCUGGGGGUGAAUGAGGAGGAUGAAUGGCAAACAGACACAGAGUCAGUUUAAUUUUCAGGCAGCCAGAGGAGGCCCUAGUGUCUGACUCAUCUUGCCUCUAUUUACCCGAAUGGGUGCAAGCAAUCAGAGAAACACAGGAUCCACCUGCUUUCCGGGAUUCAUUACUACAAACUCUGGUAAACAACUUAACCUCCGGCGUCCUAACUUUUCCCUGGAUCCCGCACUAUGCGGUCACCCCUGAGAGCAGCCUUCCUCCUUUGUGCUCACAGAGGGGCCAGCUAGGCCUCAGUUCUCCUCUGCUCUCUGGCACUCAGGUGCAAGAGGGUAACCUUGCUUCUAUCCCAAAGCCAAGCCUGAGCCACCAUGGGUGGAGGCAGGAGACAUCCAAGGUCACAUAGAUGUAAAGCUUGACUUGGGGCCCAGCUGCUGUGGCCAGAGGCUGUCCUUCCACCAAUGAUGUCGCUAACCUGAGGAGCUGGAGCCAGCAGCGCUUGAUGCCCUGCCAUCCCGCUACUGCCAGCAACAGGACUCUGCUCCUCUGACCUUUGGCCCAGGCGCCUCCCGUUGCAUCUCCUCCCAACACUUCCCAUGGUGCCCGCUGGAGUCCCCUGUCCACUGUCGAAUCCCCAACCUGUUCUUUGACUUUUGACAUUAAAACAAAAGAAAGAGAUGGAAAGAAAUGUCAGCAAUUUUCUGUUUCCCCUGUUGUUUUAGGCUGA
ensembl:lncRNA